rnacentral:rRNA from 1 species
CAGUCGCCGCGGUAAUACGAAGGGGGCUAGCGUUGCUCGGAAUUACUGGGCGUAAAGGGAGCGUAGGCGGAUCGUUAAGUUGGGGGUGAAAGCCCCGGGCUCAACCCAGAGUCUGCAGGCGAAACUGUCGGGCUUGAGUAUGGGAGAGGUGAGUGGAAUUCCCAGUGUAGAGGUGAAAUUCGUAGAUAUUGGGAAGAACACCAGUGGCGAAGGCGGCUCACUGGACCGACACUGACGCUGAGGCGCGAAAGCGUGGGGAGCAAACAGGAUUAGAUACCCCCGUAGUCCCUGUCUCUUAUAC